UAGGGAAUCUUCGGCAAUGGACGGAAGUCUGACCGAGCAACGCCGCGUGAGUGAAGAAGGUUUUCGGAUCGUAAAGCUCUGUUGUUAGCGAAGAACGUUGGUAGGAGUGGAAAAUCUACCAAGUGACGGUAACUAACCAGAAAGGGACGGCUAACUACGUGCCAGCAGCCGCGGUAAUACGUAGGUCCCGAGCGUUGUCCGGAUUUCUUGGGCGUAAAGCGAGCGCAGGCGGUUCUUUAAGUCUGAAGUUAAAGGCGGGGGCGGAACGAUGGUACGCGUGGGAAACUGGAGGACGUGAGUGCAGAAGGGGAGAGUGGAAGUCCAUGUGGAGCGGGGAAAGGCGGAGAUAGAUGGAGGAACACCGGUGGCGAAAGCGGCUCGGGGGUCUGUAACUGACGCGGAGGCGAGAAAGCGGGGGGAGCAAACAGG
rnacentral:rRNA from 1 species